rnacentral:rRNA from 1 species
UGGGGAAUUUUGGACAAUGGGGGAAACCCUGAUCCAGCCAUCCCGCGUGUGCGAUGAAGGCCUUCGGGUUGUAAAGCACUUUUGGCAGGAAAGAAACGUCAUGGGUUAAUACCCCGUGAAACUGACGGUACCUGCAGAAUAAGCACCGGCUAACUACGUGCCAGCAGCCGCGGUAAUACGUAGGGUGCAAGCGUUAAUCGGAAUUACUGGGCGUAAAGCGUGCGCAGGCGGUUCGGAAAGAAAGAUGUGAAAUCCCAGAGCUCAACUUUGGAACUGCAUUUUUAACUACCGGGCUAGAGUGUGUCAGAGGGAGGUGGAAUUCCGCGUGUAGCAGUGAAAUGCGUAGAUAUGCGGAGGAACACCGAUGGCGAAGGCAGCCUCCUGGGAUAACCCUGACGCUCAUGCACGAAAGCGUGGGGAGCAAACAGG